rnacentral:sRNA from 1 species
GAGAAAGUGGCGUGUGAAAAGUGCCGUGGGAGCCAUGGGCCAGUGGCAGCUUGAAGUAGGAGAGCCAGCGCCCCUAGGAGCAGGGAACCUGGAGCCUGAACUCAUCAAGGAAAGCAAUGCCAAUCCUAUCUUCAUGCGCAAGGACACCAAGAUGAGUUUCCAGUGGCGGAUUCGAAACCUCCCCUAUCCUAAGGAUGUCUAUAGUGUCUGUGUGGACCAGAAGGAGCGCUGCAUCAUUGUCAGAACAACCAACAAGAAAUAGACACCAGCUACCUCUGGAUGACGCCUUGCUGAGCUUUGCCCAUGCCAACUGCACCCUGAUCAUCUCUGUAAGAUUCACCCAGACUUCUUGGACACUGCAUCAGGGAGAGUCUUCCUCUUUCCCUGCCUACUUCCCAUCCCAUAAGAGUCCUCGGUUCUAGCCCCAAGCCCUAGGUACCAGAAGCCAAAGGAGGUUGUGGUGGCCGAGUCCGAGCUACAGAAGGAACUAAAGAAGAUAAAGACAGCCCACAGCAACGAUGGGGACUGCAAGACCCAGUAGUUGGCCCCUGAGCCUUAUACCUCCAGCACAGGGGGUGCCGUGAGACUUCAAGGCUUGGCCCUUCUUGACCACGGCAGCCUCCUAUCUUCUAGGAGCUAUCAAGGGUCUCUAAGAACUGGGCAUGGGGCACUCCUAGCCAGUGAGUCAUGGUCAUAUUUCCUGAGUAAAGUCAUUCUGAGUUACUUACUGC